UACGUAGGGUGCGAGCGUUGUCCGGAAUUACUGGGCGUAAAGAGCUCGUAGGUGGUUUGUCGCGUUGUCCGUGAAAACUCACAACUCAAUUGUGGGCGUGCGGGCGAUACGGGCAGACUGGAGUACUGCAGGGGAGACUGGAAUUCCUGGUGUAGCGGUGGAAUGCGCAGAUAUCAGGAGGAACACCGGUGGCGAAGGCGGGUCUCUGGGCCUGUCCUGACGCUGAGGCGCGAAAGCUAGGGGAGCGAACAGG
rnacentral:rRNA from 1 species